GAUGAACGCUGGCGGCGUGCCUAAUACAUGCAAGUCGAGCGAACAGACGAGGAGCUUGCUCCUCUGACGUUAGCGGCGGACGGGUGAGUAACACGUGGAUAACCUACCUAUAAGACUGGGAUAACUUCGGGAAACCGGAGCUAAUACCGGAUAAUAUAUUGAACCGCAUGGUUCAAUAGUGAAAGACGGUUUUGCUGUCACUUAUAGAUGGAUCCGCGCCGCAUUAGCUAGUUGGUAAGGUAACGGCUUACCAAAGCAACUAUGCGUAGCCGACGUGAGAGAGUGAUCGGCGACACUGGAACGGAGACACGGUCCAGACUCCUACGGGAGGGAGCAGUAGGGAAUCUUCCGCAAUGGGCGAAAGCCUGACGGAGCAACGGCGCGUGAGUGAUGAAGGUCUUCGGAUCGUAAAACUCUGUUAUUAGGGAAGAACAAAUGUGUAAGUAACUAUGCACGUCUUGACGGUACCUAAUCAGAAAGCCACGGCUAACUACGUG
rnacentral:rRNA from 1 species